GGUGACCUAAGUGGUUAAAGUGUCUGCUUCAAAUGUGGGAGGUCGCAGGUUCGAACCCAUGCCGAGAAACA